rnacentral:rRNA from 1 species
AAACUUAAAGGAAUUGACGGAAGGGCACCACCAGGAGUGGAGCCUGUGGCUUAAUUUGACUCAACACGGGAAACCUCACCCGGCCCGGACACCGCGAGGAUUGACAGACUGAGAGCUCUUUCUUAAUGAAGUGGAUGGUGGUGCAUGGCCGUUCUUAGUUGGUGGAGCGAUCUGUCUGGUUAAUUCCGAUAACGAACGAGACUCUGUCCUGCUAAAUAGUGUCUGCUUCUCUUUUGAGCAGACAAUUCUUCUUAGAGGGACUGGCGACUCUUAGUCGCACGAGAUUGAGCAAUAACAGGUCUGUGAUGCCCUUAG